AGGUUUUGGGAAUAUUUGUAAGCAUUUUAUGAUAGAAGCUUUUCUUAUGUCUUUAUUAUCAGAUUGUUUGGUGGCACACGCACCUUGUUAACUUUUAUGGUUGGCUCUUAUUUGUUGGGUUUAUUUAAAUUUUUUGAGAUAUCAUAUACUGAUUGAAAUAUUUUUUAGUUUAGUAUAAUUAGUCCAGUACAGUAAUAAUUUCUUGCUUUGUUUGGUUAUUUUGUUGAUUUUUCUUUUGCCUGUUAAGCCAAAAGAUGCAUUUCGAUCGCUAUUUGUGUAGUUGAGAUGUGUUGGGUUCACACAUUUUCAAAGUCGCUACUGUUCCAUUUAUUUUGAAAUAUAAAUAUUGGCUGCCUCUCUUACUCCUAUAUUUCCAUCCAUCUCGACGUUGCAAUUGAUGAUGAUCUGCAUAAUAUGUGCUUAGGUUUAUCUGUUUGCUCCACAGGG
rnacentral:misc_RNA from 1 species